CUUUGACUAUAUUAUUUGUAAUUUUAGGGAUGCUUCGAGUCUUUGACUAUUGUUUUUGUACUCGAGUUGCAUAUCUCACAAACUUUUUGUGUUUUGUAAUUUUAGGUGAAGAGCUUCUUUCAGACUCCUUCCCCUACAAGGAACUAUUGAAUGGGUUCAUAUGAGAAGUUGAAGAAAAGUUAUGGAUAAUGAAAACAAUGCUCCUUCGUUAUUAAAGUCGAUUGAGGACUAUGAUCCUAUAUUUUUCGAAUUGUUCAUCGACCAAAAACAGUUAUGGAUCAUAAAAACAACGCUCCUUCGUUGUUAAAGUUGAUUGAGAACUAUGAUCCUAUAUUUUUGGAAAUACCAUAUGAUUUUGCAACCUUAUUGUGGGGAGAACAACUUCCAUAUGUCAAUGUCUUAAAAUUAGUGAUGAUGAUUUAUCGUGA